rnacentral:rRNA from 1 species
GACGAACGCUGGCGGCGUGCUUAACACAUGCAAGUCGAACGGAAAGGCCCUGCUUUUGUGGGGUGCUCGAGUGGCGAACGGGUGAGUAACACGUGAGUAACCUGCCCUUGACUUUGGGAUAACUUCAGGAAACUGGGGCUAAUACCGGAUAGGAGCUCCUGCAGCAUGGUGGGGGUUGGAAAGUUUCGGCGGUUGGGGAUGGACUCGCGGCUUAUCAGCUUGUUGGUGGGGUAGUGGAUUACCAAGGCUUUGACGGGUAGCCGGCCUGAGAGGGUGACCGGCCACAUUGCUACUGCGAUACGGCGCAGACUCCUACGGGAGGCAGCAGUGGGGAGUAUUGCACAAUGGGCGGGAGCCUGAUGCAGCAGCGCCGCGUGCGGGAUGACGUCCUUCGGGUUGUAAACCGCUUUCGCCUGUGACGAAGCGUUAGUGACGGUAAUGGGUAAAGAAGCACCGGCUAACUACGUG